CGUGGAGAAGGCUCCUCUUCCUCUCGCAGAAGCUCUCCCGCAGCUCCUCUUCCGCAUCUCUGUCGAGUUAUGACUUGUGACCUAAUUCUGCUGAUGGCUGGUCAAAUUUGUCGUGAGAAAGUGAAGGCUCAAUGAGGCAGCGCAUUGUUGUAGACAGGCUUUAGCAGUCGUUAUCGGCACCAAUUAAUUGUCAUGGUAACCUUUGGGAAUAUGAUGAAGGUUCAUGGUCCAUUACAAGAAGU